rnacentral:rRNA from 1 species
UACGGGGGGGGCAAGCGUUGUUCGGAAUUACUGGGCGUAAAGGGCUCGUAGGCGGCCAACUAAGUCAGACGUGAAAUCCCCAGGCUCAACCUGGGAACUGCGUCUGAUACUGGAUGGCUUGAAUCCGGGAGAGGGAUGCAGAAUUCCAGGUGUAGCGGUGAAAUGCGUAGAUAUCUGGAGGAAUACCGGUAGCGAAGGCGGCAUCCUGGACCGGCAUUGACGCUGAGGAGCGAAAGCCAGGGGAGCAAACGGG